rnacentral:lncRNA from 1 species
AGUUCUAAAUAGUGAUACUUGUUAAAUUUAAAUGUGAAAUGCAAUUAUAAUGUUUUUGUUCUGUAGAAUAAAUGUUCAUGAUGUUAUUAUUUUAAGUUAUCACAUGACUUUUUAUAAAUGUCACAUGGGUUGUUUUUGCUGAUUUGUUGAGUGUUUGUAAUGAAUGUGAUAUGUUUUCAUGUUAAAAAGCACCUCAGUGAGAAAGUUGUUUUGUUUUUAGAUAUUUAUUAAUCUUU